CACACACACACACAUAUCAUGCCAAGAGCAAAUGCUCCCAUUGUUUCUGCUCUCUAUUCUAAUGCAGAACUGAGCGCGAUGAGGGUAAAUCCGGAUCUGGACUCCUUUCCCACCAUCAGCAGAAGAACCGAAGGAGAAGAAGCGCCGACCAACAACCAGAACAGGGUGGAAGCUCUGACACCACAGCAGCUGGAGGACACAGACCACAGCAUGGACGCCUCAGCGACUCACACAACGUCUGCAGCCGUCACGUUCUGGGCUCAUCAGAUGAACCAGCUACUACAAGCGUGUGUGUCUGACACAGACACCUGCUUAUGACAAUCAGCAAAGGAAAACAAGGACAGAGCAACAGCAGAGAAGACGUGCUCUGACACAGACACUGGUUGAAACAACAGAAGAGGCUUAAGACGUGAUCGGCCCAAAAGAGCUGCAUCUGAGGAUCCAGGAAAGGUCUGUCAUCGAGAAACAACUGUCCCAUUGAAAGGCUUCACCCACUGGCGCUCACAUCAGACUGAUGGUUGGGGAAGGAGGAAGGUGACGGUUCCUUUUCACGUGACGUACAAGACGCUCCACACGUCCCUCUGUGAAAACAUGAUGGAGACAGAUGCAGGACGUGGGUCCUUUCGUGAACAGAUGUCAACGGGGUGGAGACUGGUGAACGACUUCUGACCCCAUGUGACGUAUUUACCCACACUACAUGCUUUCGUUUUUAUUUUUAUUUCAGAGGACGCUCUGACCCAACACUCAGCCUUACAGGAAGCCCUGCUUCCCUGUGGCUCACACACAGACAUGAUGUAGGUUUGAUCAGAGGAUGUGAACCAGUGGUCAUCACACCUAAAUCUGACCACAGACCAUGUAAACAACAACACCCUCUUGAAAGAAGCCAUAGAUGGCGUUACUGCAGACACCACUAAGAUACUGAAACAUUGGAUGCGACAGGCCACAAAGAGCCUGUCUAAAUUACAGUUUGUUCAGACAAAGGUUAUUUUCUGGGUCAUUGUAAUUACAGCUGAUGGCAAAUCCAUCUCACCCAACAGAGUUGAAGCAUUUUUAAACCUGCCUAAACCGUGCACGUAAAAACAGCUGAUGUCUUUUCUAGGUUUUUGUUCUUAUUGUAGGACUUUCGUUCCUAACUUUACCUUCUCUGAGGCCCCACUCAGGGUUCUGAUGCAGACGUCUUCAUCGUCCACUUCUUGUCUCACGUGGACGUCUGAGGCUGAACAACGUUCACUGACCUCAUGCUUGCUCUUCAGUCGGCUCCUACUUUGGGUCUCCCUGAUCUGACCCUACGCGACCUUUCACUCAAACAGUGGAUGAGAAAUCAGGUUGUACGACUUCUGUUCUUUUGUCCUCACUGUGUCUUUGAUUCUUUUGGAAUAGAUCACAUCUUUCUACAGCCCGAUGGCUUAGAUGCAACACCACCUUGCUCAACAUGCUGAACGUUACUAUCAAGAGGCCGUCUUGAAGUCUGGCUUUUUGCUAAGACACUACUCUGCUCAGGCUGCAGAGUUGAUCGCGUUGACUGAAGCUGGUAAACUAGCAGAAGGAGAGUUACCAUCUACACAGACUCCACAGAUGCUCUGUGGAAGCAUAGGAAGCUUUUGAAGUCUGAUUGCAAACCUAUCUUACAUCAUGAUUAGGUUGCUGCUUUGCUGGACGCUGUCCUGCUACAGUACCUACAGCUAAUGCUGUUUGUAAAUGUCCAACUCACACCAUCAGUGACGACUUUGUUUCUGCCGACAUGCAGCUGCAGACGCUGCUGCGAAGGUCACUGCCCAACAACCCCUCCCUCUCCUGAUCCUCAUUUCCCUCUCCAACUCUCUCUACCCUCUCCUUCCUCUUCUCUCCCUGUGCUUUAAACGUUUGCUACCUCACAGGAACGCUGACUCUGGCUGACGAAUGGUUUCACCUGUAGCCAUGGAGUCUGGUUUGGGCCUGAUAGGAAACCGUGCCGCCCAAACACUUUUUUUCCCCACAAUUCAGAUUUCCCAACAGGUGAAAACAGGCGACAGGACCAUUACACCAUCCAACCAGGGGACUGGGUGAUCGUUAAGGAGUUCAGGAGGAAGCACUGGGACUCCAAACGGUAGCGAGGCCCCUUCCUGGACCUUCUGACGACCCACACGGCUGUAAAGAUCGCAGAGAGAGCGAUUUGGAUCCACUCCAUCCAGGAAGGUCCCGGAUCCGACAGACGACCUUCCAUCUACAUCUCACGGAGAAUUCACCACUAACGAAAAGAACUGAGAAGGACGACCUUCGCUGUGCUCACACACGCACUGAGGCGAGGCUGCGUUGACCGUUCAGCUAAAGGUGUGAGCCAAGCGCCGCCUGAAGCUGCGCCGGUGAAUCACACUAUCAGACCAUACAUCUACACACACGCUCCUGAGAAAACACACACACGAGCAGCCUUGAGUUGUCAACGCUGGACGACGUGUAGACUCUUCACAUCACGGGAGUGACAGUGACUCAGACGACAUUGGGAGGAAACCUGGCGGUGAUAACGAAUCCCAAGUGUCUCUGUGAUCAGCUGAUCACAACCUGAAGAACUCCAACGAACUGGCAAUACAUCAACACACAGGUUGGAAACAAUCUAACGCUACUGUUCAACAGGACGAAGCUGAUUGUUACAAGACAUCAAUUGUAACCUCGUUGCGUUAGACAUUUUAUGUUACUCUGAUUAUUGCCUUGAUCAUAUGAUGUUUCCAUGUAACUUUACACAACACUUUUGAAUGAGAAACUUUCACAUAAUUCACAACACUGAGUUUAAAUAUUAAUUUGAUGUUUCAUUUGCUCACAAUCACUUUAUUCAUUGCUACAAAAAUUUUUAUCCUUCAUCUACAGAUGACAGAGGUUAUGAGACAAAACGCAUCAUCAUUCUGGUUAAAUCCCUGAAUCUCCUAUUCGCUCUAGACGCAAAUGUACAAUUAAAGAUUAGAAAGCAUGAAAUCUAUCUUAAGAUUAUAUGAAACAGAACCCCACCGGAAACCUAUGGCUAUCAUACAUUAAUUAUCUUUAUUACAUUACAAUUGAAUGGCCGUAGACACGUUGUUAGCAGAGAAAAGAGGCGUUUGUGUUAUGUUUGGAGAGGCAUGUUGUACUUACAUCCUGAAUAACACUGAUUCUAAUGGUAUCGUGGCGAAGGCGCUCCACGGCCUUCAAAAUCUCAGCUAACUCUGGUAUAGGUUCUUUCUCUUGGAAUUGGCUAGACAAAAUGUCCGGAAAAUGGAAAUCUGUUCUCAUGUCCACAGCUGUUUCCUUUAUCAUUGAGAUGGCUGUGAUUCUCUUGUUUGGUUUUUGCGUUAUCCCACUGGUUAGAGGUCUCAUCAUGCGUGCGACCCCAGCAACACUCUCGUAUCAAAUGACACAAUGCACUAUGUUCAAAAAUCCCAACUCUAAUUCACUUAAUGACUUUGACGAUGGUCUUAGGCUAUCUGAUCACAAAAUAUAAUCUGAUACGAAUAUGAUUAUGAGCUUAUUUUCUUCACAUGUCGAUACAGAAGUUAUUCUUGUAUAACUACCCACCAAAAACAGCUCCCAACCUUUUGUCCCUAAGUUACUUGCAUUUAAUGUGAAGGUGUAUUUUGAAUCUUGAUGAGUUAAUACCCUUAUUGUCAUCAUUUGCAAGGGUCUUUUAUUAUUACAGAAUGUGAUGUUGACAAUUUUAUUCUUUUAGUGGUUGAUUAAUGUGUAAUCAAAAGGGGGGAGUGUUAUGGGAAAAAUUGUCUCUUCCUUAUUUCUAAUUGUCUCUUCCUUAUUUCUAUGUCUCUUCCUUACUUCUAUGCAGUUAUUAUACGAUUUAUGACUUAUGUUCUGCAAUUAAUAUCUUAUGUUUUGUCUUACUGUAUGCAUUUGACAUUUCACCUAGAUUGUUCAAUGGUUGUCUCUGCCUGAUAGACUCUCAACUCUAGCUCCCAAACCCAAGGUCAGCGAGUUGUGUCUCUGUCUGUUGAGACUUGGUGCUCCUUUCUCACAGAUAGUUGGACGUCAGCAAUGCAGGUGUGAGAAUGUAAAUAUCUUCACACACACUGCGACAGGGAGGAGAUGGUGCGUGUAAUUUGAUUGGGUUAGAAAGACAUUCCACCCUAGUCGGACAGAGAAGCUAAAAGGCAGAAGCAACUUUAGGAUCGUGGGCUCUUUGCAUCACACCUUCGUGGUGUGUGCACUGAUCUCCCCAGCUGGUUUUCGGUUUGUUGAUGUGCACGAUCAACAUCCAUGCUUUUGAUUUGCUUUCCCCAUUAUUUUUAUUUUCUUUAUUAUUUCAAUAAAUCGCACAAAAGGACAA